rnacentral:lncRNA from 1 species
CUAGUUAGGAACCCGUGCAACGCACGGGCGAGAACGAUUGUAUUAUCUGAUUAAAUACAGCACUUAGACAAUUGGUUGUUAACAUGACACAACCAUAUAAUAAAGACAUGUAAUAAUAUAAUUGUUGUUAUACUUAGAACAUAAACCAACAAACAACUUCCACUUUUAAAACCUACAAUUUCUUCUAUACAAAGUUGUUUCCAUAGAUUGAGAUAACUUGAAAUUCCUUCCCUUCAGCGUCCAUAUG